rnacentral:rRNA from 1 species
CGAGCGGAAGGCCCUUCGGGGUACUCGAGCGGCGAACGGGUGAGUAACACGUGAGUAACCUGCCCCGAACUCUGGGAUAAGCCUGGGAAACCGGGUCUAAUACCGGAUAUUACCUGUGACUGCAUGGUCUGCAGGUGGAAAGUUUUUUCGGUUCGGGAUGGACUCGCGGCCUAUCAGCUUGUUGGUGAGGUAGUGGCUCACCAAGGCGACGACGGGUAGCCGGCCUGAGAGGGCGACCGGCCACACUGGGACUGAGACACGGCCCAGACUCCUACGGGAGGCAGCAGUGGGGAAUAUUGCGCAAUGGGCGAAAGCCUGACGCAGCGACGCCGCGUGGGGGAUGACGGCCUUCGGGUUGUAAACCUCUUUCAGCAGGGACGAAAUUGACGUGUACCUGCAGAAGAAGCGCCGGCUAACUACGUGCCAGCAGCCGCGGUAAUACGUAGGGCGCAAGCGUUGUCCGGAAUCAUUGGGCGUAAAGAGCUCGUAGGUGGCCGGUCGCGUCGGAUGUGAAAGCCCGCAGCUUAACUGCGGGUCUGCAUUCGAUACGGGCCGGCUCGAGGUAGGUAGGGGCAAGCGGAAUUCCUGGUGUAGCGGUGAAAUGCGCAGAUAUCAGGAGGAACACCGGUGGCGAAGGCGGCUUGCUGGGGCCUUACCUGACGCUGAGGAGCGAAAGCGUGGGGAGCGAACAGGAUUAGAUACCCUGGUAGUCCACGCUGUAAACGUUGGGCGCUAGGUGUGGGGGACCUUCCACGGUUUCCGUGCCGUAGCUAACGCAUUAAGCGCCCCGCCUGGGGAGUAC